rnacentral:rRNA from 1 species
GGGUCAGUAGGUUGGUCGUGCCACCGGUACGUACUGGUCUCACUGAUUCCUCCUUCCUGAAGAACCGUAAUGCCAUUAAUUUGGUGUUGCGGGGGAACAGGACUGUUACUUUGAAAAAAUUAGAGUGUUUAAAGCAAGCUAACGCUUGAAUACAUUAGCAUGGAAUAACGAAAUAGGACGAUCGAUCCCAUUUUGUUGGUUCCUAGGAUUGACGUA